AUUGAACGCUGGCGGCAGGCCUAACACAUGCAAGUCGAACGAGUGGCGGACGGGUGAGUAAUGUCUGGGAAACUGCCUGAUGGAGGGGGAUAACUACUGGAAACGGUAGCUAAUACCGCAUACCAUCAGAUGUGCCCAGAGGGGAUUAGCUAGUUGGUGGGGUAACGGCUCACCAAGGCGACGAUCCCUAGCGGGUCUGGGCGGAUGACCAUCCAAACUGGAAUCGAGACACAGUCCAGAUUCCUACGCGAGGCAGCAGUGGGGAAUAUUGCACAAUGGGCGCAAGUCUGAUGCAGCCAUGCCGCGUGUAUGAAGUAGUCCGUCGGGUUGUAAAGUACUUUCAGCGGGGAGGCUUUACCCGCAGAAUAAGCACCGGCUAACUCCGUGCCAGCAGCCGCGGUAAUAC
rnacentral:rRNA from 1 species